CUGAGAGAUGCAACCAGAAGAUGGAUGAGAAACAUACUUGAGGCUGAGAUGACAGAAUGACAUGGGACAUCUCCCCCUAAAAGCGUAAGAGUGAUGUAUGCGCAGGGCAUUGUUGCUCUGUCUCCAUAUCUGGAAGACCCAUAUUAACAACAUGGAUAUAAACAUUACUACGAUCCAGAGAACAGUUCAGGAUACAUUGCAUGGCGGUUGAAGACCAUUCAAAGAAAAGCUGUGGAGGAAAGAAGCGUCUCAGUUUGCAAAUCUCCCAAAAAUAGAACAAGAUUUCCGACUCCUGUUUUGUGAGGUCACUGGGAGCAAAUUCUUGGAGAGGUGGCUCACCAAUCUCAAAGCAAAGGUUGUAAAGGAAAGUCAUGGACUUGUCCCCA